rnacentral:rRNA from 1 species
GACGAACGCUGGCGGCGUGCUUAACACAUGCAAGUCGAGCGGAAAGGCCCUUCGGGGUACUCGAGCGGCGAACGGGUGAGUAACACGUGAGUAAUCUGCCCUUCACUCUGGGAUAGCCACCGGAAACGGUGAUUAAUACCGGAUACGACCACCGUGGGCAUCCACUGGUGGUGGAAACUUUUUUGGGUGGGGGAUGUGCUCGCGGCCUAUCAGCUUGUUGGUGGGGUAAUGGCCUACCAAGGCUUCGACGGGUAGCCGGCCUGAGAGGGUGACCGGCCACACUGGGACUGAGACACGGCCCAGACUCCUACGGGAGGCAGCAGUGGGGAAUAUUGGACAAUGGGCGGAAGCCUGAUCCAGCAACGCCGCGUGAGGGAUGACGGCCUUCGGGUUGUAAACCUCUUUCAGCACCGACGAAGCGCAAGUGACGGUAGGUGCAGAAGAAGGACCGGCCAACUACGUGCCAGCCGCCGCAGUAACAC